GGACAACGCAGAUAUAGAACAUUUCUUUUAUCACAUGACUCCUGAGUUUUUUAGAAGUGUUUUUGCCCCAAGCCUGUGAGGAUAUCUUUUUUUAUUAUUGAUUUCUAUGUACAUUUAAUGGCAUUGUGGUCAUGGAAUGUGGACUGUAUGAAGACCUUGUUACUUAAUUAGUAGAAAGAUUAUAAUUCUUAGAAACCCAUACUGCAAUACUAGAAUAAAUUUUUUCCAAUUUUAAAUUCAAUGUGCUAGAAAAUCCCACAACAAUAUGCUUUAGGGUUUGUAAUUUAACCAAAUGAAUUUGCAGUACUCUCAUUACUUAGGUUUCUUCCUUUGAAUCUGAGAUCUUAAAGUUUAGCAGCUGCAUGAAGAGCAUGUCCACAAAAUUCUUUUCUUAGUUAAAAAAAAUAAAGUUAGAUUCUAAAAACUUACUGAGUUGUUGUUGUUUUAUUGCUGCUUUGUAAUUUGUUUGCUUUUGUUUUCUGGGUCAUGCAAUAAGCACUAGUGUAAAUCUGGUUCAAGUUUAUUGAUUUUAAAGAACAGAUAUUAAAAUCUUCAAUGUGAUUCAUAGUUUAUUCCAGAAUACAUUACAUCAAGAAUGAUGUUUUUUACCCUGUACAUUUCAAUACUUUAAACAUCGCAAUGAAUACUGUUUUUAUAGUGCUGUUUUUCAAAAUUUCUCACCUCCCUACCCUUUACUUCAUUUGGGGUCUGCAUUUUCUUUGUAUUUCCCCUUGCCCUUACUUUCUUCUUAUAAUACGUAUUACAUUUCUGUAGCAUUUAAACUUUUGAUGAAUACUUUCCCCUGGUACUAUUUCUUGGAUACUCACAGAAACCCUACAAAUUAAGUAAUGUCCAUCUUUUCCAGAUAGUGAAUCCAGUACUGAAAUGUUAAAUUAAUUGUUCAAUAUUCCUUAGCUAGUAAGUGGGAAGAGCCAGAAUUCAAA
rnacentral:lncRNA from 1 species